ACGUUAUUAGUAUAUUUCAUAUUAUGCCACUUUUCCAAAGUGGUGAACUAAAAUUUUAGAUAACGUA
rnacentral:tRNA from 1 species